GUCAGAUGGCAUCAGUUUGACGUUCAAAAUGUCAACGCAGACAGAGGCUUGUCGGACCAAGAGUUGCAACCAUCGUCACCCUUGACAACAACCUUUCGUUCUAGUUACAAAGGUGAACACGGUGCUCCUGCUCUUAGCUGUCGCCCUAAAUGAUCUGCCCAACCUCCUCAUAGACCAGGACCAAGUGGAUAUUCAAUAGACUUUGCAGCCAAACCGUUGAAAAAGAGGUCUCCCCCACCAACGAGAAGAGGCAACGUACUGGACACUUAUCCAAGGAACGUGCUCCUACCAUACACACGAC